rnacentral:tRNA from 2 species
AUCUAAAUAGUUUAUUAAAAAUAUUGAUUUGUGAUAUCAAAGAUAUAGUAGUAUUUUAGAUU